rnacentral:rRNA from 1 species
UACAGAGGUGGCAAGCGUUGUUCGGAUUUACUGGGCGUAAAGGGUGCGUAGGCGGUUCUGUGUGUCGGGUGUGAAAUCCCAUGGAUUAUCCAUGGAACUGCAUUCGAAACUACAGGGCUGGAGUGCAGGAGAGGAAGGUGGAAUUCUCGGUGUAGCGGUGAAAUGCGUUGAUAUCGAGAGGAACGCCGGAGGCGAAGGCGACCUUCUGGACUGCAACUGACGCUGAGGAACGAAAGCUAGGGGAGCAAACAGG